UGCUUAUUAAGAAUCCUUGUGUAGUUCAUUAUGACUUGUGCUUUUAGCUAAGAUGUCAAAGAACAAUUGUAUGAAAUAUUUAAUCGCCGAAAAUCUCUUAAGACAAGUAGUUUAGAUUUCCCAAAUGGCAAAAGUCGUAGGAAUAUUGUUUGUCAUCAAUACGUAGUACAACUACGUCAGUAGUCUAUUAUAUAAUAAGUUCAACUGUUCAUGCUGUUGGCGGCAAUUUCAAAUUAGAAAAAGAAAUUUUCGUAGCUUUUCAAUUUGGAGGCAGGUGUGCAAAUUAGCGGUGGUCCGAGGUCCGCGACCUUCCACUUUUGCAAGCGGAAUUUCGACUAGGAUAGUUGGUUUCUAGCUACGCCCGACGUAGUCACCUUCCACUUGAAAGAAAAUAAGAAAUUACUUUGCAAACCUUUUCAUGCAAUGUCACCAAAGUCUCCAAUUAAACGAGCUAAAAACUUAUUUUUAUCAUUAUUAUUCAUGACAGCGAUGUUCAUUUUGUUCAACCGCUAGCUUUAUACAGAAAAUCGCCGACAAAUAUUGUAUAAAUUCGAGUAAAAUCGUAUCUGAUUGACAAAAACAACAUUGUAAACACAUAACAAUGGCGGCCGUGAAGACAAAAUUUUACAAUAUCGGAUCCGAUUCCGGAAGCGGAUAAGGAUAAUUCCGGGUUUGGCGAUCAAUUACAAUUCAAUUACAAAUAAAUCAAAGCAGGUGAAAAAAAAAUCUAUCUAUGCAUGGUAAAUGAAUAUAAACACUAGAAUUGUAAACCAAAAGAUAUAUGUAAAAGAAAGAAAAAGCAGAAAAAUAUUUUAUACAGAAACUCAAAAUUACUUUUUGACAAAUUUUAAUUUAAAAAUCCAAUACAACGUGACAGCUGGGAACAGUAUAUCUAACAAUAUACAUGUUCAUGGUCACAGUCUAAAUUUUCUUUAUCAGUGAUAAAUGAUGAUAAUGCAUGUGAGAUGCUUUUAAAGUGUAAACAUAUUACUGCAAUUUCGAAGGGUCAAUUAAAGUAGCUGAAAGUUUCUUUCUUUAUUUUCACAAAUAAUGCAACUAUAUUAUAUAUACCUAAAUGUAAGUAAAUCAUAUGAUAUAUAGGUGGCAUUCUUUGGGCCACUCUACCCCCUCCUGUUUGAUAACUUGGAAACGGUCGAGCUCCCCACCCUAAACCAUAUGAGGGGCAGAUCCAGGAUUUUAGGUUAGGAGGCGCAAACUUAAAUUUUCGCCGAGCAGAGCGAGGCUAAAAAAAAUUUGAGGUAAAAUUAUCGGAAUAUUCUUUAUUAAGCUGAGAACAACCCAUGCUUUGCAAAUUUAAGGGGGUGCAAGCCCGCAACACCCCCUGCCUGAAUCCGCCCCUGCAUAUAUUCAAGUAUAGGACAAUAUAAUAAAUAAAAUGAAAUAUAGGGGGAGUCCCUGGAGCUACCCCACCCCCUCCUGUUUGAGAACUUGGAAACGGUCGAGAUCCACACCCCUUAACCAUAUAUAUUCAUGUUUGUGACAAUAUGAAAAAUCAAAUGAAAUAUAGGAAGAGUCGCUGGGGUCACCCCACCCUUCCUGUUUUAGAAUUUAAAAAUGGUCCAGAUCCCCACCCUAAACCAUAUAUAUUCAUGUAUGGGACAAUAUAACAAAUCAGAUGAAAUAUAGGGGGAGUCCCUUGGGUCACCCCACCCCCUCCUGUUUGAGAAUUUGAAACCCGUUGAGAUCGCCACCCCUUAACCAUAUAUUUAUGUACGGGACAAUAUAACAAUUCAAAUGAAAGAUAGGGGAGUCCCUGAGGUCACCCUAC
rnacentral:lncRNA from 1 species